GUUACUUGAUGAUACAUUAAACUAAUUCAAUUGAGCAACAAUUAAGUAAAAUAGCAUUCCUUCAUUUAGAAACUGCGGUUUCAUCUGCAUUUCAUCUUAUCAUCCCUGGCUGAAGAACCACCAUAUUUGUAUUGGUAACUGGAUGUGAAGGUGUAAUAUUAGCUUUCCCUUUUCUUGUGCAGGCGAGAAGAAUGAGCUUCGUGAUGAGAAGCAGAGGCUCAAGGCGGACAUAGAGAAGUUGGUGCGCAGUUACUUCAAGAAAUAGGAAUAUAUUCCAGGUAAAAUAAAACUUGGCCACAGAAAUCACUCAACAGCAUUGCUCACGAAGAAUUUAUCUGAUGAUUGUUAUGCCUUAAGCAUCACCAUUAUGAAGCUGAAUCCCAUUAGGAUGUUGACAAGAAAACUCCCUUUGACCUUUGUGAGCUGAUGAGGAUGGUGGUUCAGUUGAAGAUCCAGUCGAAGAGGUUCAAGUGGAUUCGGUUGAAGGAAUAAUAGAUGAUGAUGCAGAACUACCCAAAGGCGACUCAAAUGGCGAUGAAGGGAGCAUUGUAUUUGUAGGAGUGGACUCUGGCGCUUGUGUUGGUGAGGAAGCCGAAGUACUUUCUGGAGUUGGAGUAGGAUUAUAGGAACCAGAGGGUGUCACCGAAGAAGCUGGUGGUUUUGCUUAAUUGUGUCUUCCACUUAAUAGCCUACUUGUAAACUUUCGUCUUGUAUUUUAUUUAGUUUUCUUCACUUAUUGUAACGAGCUCUUAGCUUCUUUGGUUAUAAAUAUAAGAACAACUAAUUGUUUUGGUUAAUGCAACCAAAACAGAGUUUCUCCACAA